CAGGUGGCGCCGUUUUGCUGCAGAGUCGACCCAGCAGACCAGCCAUCUGCAGCAGGGAGUUCACACCUUCAGCCACCCUCAUGUGAGUGUAACCGAUCUCCUGCAGGGGAGAACCAGGAAAUACAACAUCAGGUGAUGCACCACCUGUCGUCUCACCUGUCGGCUUCGUCCAGGAUGAUGAUCUUGUGUCGUCCUUUGGGCAGUGUGACUUUCUGUUGAGCAAACAUCUUGAUCUUGUUCCUCACCACAUCGAUUCCUCUGCAGACACAACAGUCGACAGUGACUCACCCAUCCAUUUACCUCAGACAGGAGUCUCACCUGUCGUUUGAAGCGUUGAGCUCCAGCACAGCGUCUUUCAUGGAGGCUCCCAGCAGAGCGCGGGCCAAACACAGGAUGCUGGUGGUCUUUCCUGUGCCUGGAGGACCUGCA